rnacentral:tRNA from 1 species
GGGGAUGUAGCUCAGUGGUAAAGUGUGUGCUUGGUAUGCACAAGGCCUUGGGCUUGAUCCUCAUACCCA